GGUCCCAUCGUCUAAUAGGUAAGACAUCGCACGAUUGGUAAUCACCGUAGGUCUCUUUACUUUUCCUAACCAGUUAAGUUUUGGGGUGUUUUCGGGGCGGGGAAUGCAGGUUCGAGUCCUGCUGGGGUCA
rnacentral:tRNA from 1 species